CGGGAGUACAAUAACCAACUCUGAUACGAGUUGUACUUGUAAAUAUUCAUUUUCAUUUAAAAUUAGAGAUAGAUCCUAGUCGGUUAGGAAAUUGGUUGUAACAGGCUAUAAAUAGCCAUCUUUAGAGAUUUGUAAAAAACACAUCAAUCAAUACAACAAUCUACUAUUUCCUCAUAUUUUACUUUCAAGUCGGCGACUUCGCC
rnacentral:lncRNA from 1 species